rnacentral:rRNA from 1 species
UACAGAGGCCUCAAGCGUUGUUCGGAUUCAUUGGGCGUAAAGGGUGCGUAGGUGGCGGGGUUAGUCAGGUGUGAAAUCUCGGAGCUCAACUCCGAAACUGCACUUGAUACUGCCUUGCUUGAGUACUGGAGAGGAGAUUGGAAUUUACGGUGUAGCAGUGAAAUGCGUAGAUAUCGUAAGGAAGACCAGUGGCGAAGGCGAAUCUCUGGACAGUUACUGACACUGAGGCACGAAGGCCAGGGGAGCAAACGGG